UACGAAGGGAGCUAGCGUUGUUCGGAAUCACUGGGCGUAAAGCGCACGUAGGCGGACUUUCAAGUCAGGGGUGAAAUCCCGGGGCUCAACCUCGGAAUUGCCUUUGAUACUGUAGGUCUCGAGUCCGGAAGAGGUGGGUGGAAUUCCUAGUGUAGAGGUGAAAUUCGUAGAUAUUAGGAAGAACACCGGUGGCGAAGGCGGCCCACUGGUCCGGUACUGACGCUGAGGUGCGAAAGCGUGGGGAGCAAACAGG
rnacentral:rRNA from 1 species